rnacentral:misc_RNA from 1 species
GAGAAAAUUGCUGACCUUGUUGUUAAUAGGAUGGGAGGUCUUGUUAAUGAUGCAGAAGAAAUGUCAAAGAGGUGGACUGCAAGGAGUUAUGAGCUAAGAAUAUCAUUAAACUCUAUCAUUCUUCCCCUUGGCUGUCUUGAUAUUGGACAUUCUCGACAUAGGGCCUUACUCUUCAAGGUACUUGCUGAUAGAAUCAAUCUACCAUGCAAG